UCCCCUAGUAACGGCGAGUGAAGAGGGANGAGCUCAAAUUUUAAAUCUGCCUUGUUCCAAGGUCGAGUUGUAAUUUGAAGAAGCGUUUUCUUGGGCUCGCGGCCGGUAGAAGUUCUUUGGAACAGGACAUCAUAGAGGGUGACAAUCCCGUCCGUGACCGGUCGUGCGUUCAUCUACGAUACGCUUUCAAAGAGUCGAGUUGUUUGGGAUUGCAGCUCCAAACGGGUGGUAAACAUCACCUAAGGCUAAAUAUUGGCGAGAGACCGAUAGCGAACAAGUACCGUGAGGGAAAGAUGAAAAGAACUUUGAAAAGAGAGUUAAACAGUACGUGAAAUUGUUGAAAGGGAAACGAUUGAAGUCAGUCGUGCUGGCGCGAAAUCAACCCUCUCGUCUUGAGAUCACAUGGCGCGACGAGCCUCAAAACCGUCACGAAGCGUGAACUCUUGACGAAAAGGUGCACUUUCGUGUCCGCUGGUUAACAUCAAUUUCGAACGUCAUAAAAAGGCUGGAGGGAUGUGGCUCCUUCGGGAGUGUUAUAACCUUUAGCGGAAUGUGGCGUUCGGGAUUGAGGAUUGCAACGAAUACCUUCAGGGCUGUUCCACCUGGCUUCUCAUUGGUAUCCUGGUGACGACAGCUUGCUGACGUCGUUAGGAUCAGCUUCUGAACAGGCUAGAGUGUGAGCAAAUUCGUWAAGGAUGUUAACGUAAUGGCUUUAAACGACCCGUCUUG
rnacentral:rRNA from 1 species